UUCUCAGCCGUUGAUUGGCUUAAAUGAAAAGGAAUGGCCCAGAUGAGUCUUCUUCCAAUAACAAUCGCGUCAAAUAGCUCUGUGCCUUCAAACCCGACUCACUCUCUCAACGACAAAACCAAAGUUCUCGUCUCGACUUCUCCGACCAAAAUCCAGUUCUCCAACCCAACUCCUAGUCUCCACCAUUGACGCUUGAAACUGGCCUCAGAUUGCAUGAUUGUCACAACACAAACUUUCUUCUUUUCCUUUCUCGAUGCCCGAUAUCAGUCCCCGCCGAACCUCGUCAUCUCCUUCGUCCUCCUCACUGCUGUCGUUUGGGUUCAACGAUGACGUGGUCACCGGAGUUCAUCACAAGUGAAGACCUCGAUGAAGGUCCCCAAGUCGCCGUAUAAGGUUUUGGAUGCACCGGCCUUGCAAGACAAUUUCUGCUAAUGCUGGUGGAUUGGUUGCUGCAUAAUGUAUUGGCUUUGGGGUAGGAAAACUGUGUUUAUUUGUGGAAUCAAUGUAUAGAAAGUGUGACCUCUUAGCUUUAUGAAAUCAAUGUAUAGAAAGUGUGAAUGUAAUGUGCAUUUUCUCAUAACACAGAGCUUUGCUCUUGCUAUUCUGGAGAAGGUUCAUUUUGUUGUACUUUAUAGUAUUAUAGAAGGAAUGAAGUCCAUGUAUGUUGUGUA